UACGUAGGGGGGCUAGCGUUGUCCGGAAUCAUUGGGCGUAAAGCGCGUGUAGGCGGUCCGGUAAGUCCGCUGUGAAAGUCGGGGGGCUCAACCCUCGGAUGCCGGUGGAUACUGUCGGGCUUGAGUACGGAAGAGGCGAGUGGAAUUCCUGGUGUAGCGGUGAAAUGCGCAGAUAUCAGGAGGAACACCAAUUGCGAAGGGCAGCUCGCUGGGACGUUACUGACGCUGAGACGCGAAAGCGUGGGGAGCAAACAGG
rnacentral:rRNA from 1 species